AAACAGAGUUACGCUCUCAAAAUGUUUGUUUUACUUCCUGCAUUUUUGUUAUCUGAUGAAAAAAAAAAAGAAAAAAAUACACAUUUGAACAAGCGGCUUCCAAUGUUGAUUUGGCUUGGUGAAAACGAGUUGCCAUGGAAACGAAACGGUUCAAAACCAGUUAACAGCAGCUUAAUAGCAUUCUACAUUCUUGGUGUUUUAUAAUGACAGAAAGGAGGAGCCGCAGCGGAGGAGGUUACAGUAAAGUUAUGUGGUAUGAUUUAGGUAAGAUAACAUCAAAACAAAAUUCCUAAUAUAAAGGAGCUGGCUUGCUCAGUCAUUGAACCCAACGAAUACCUACAAACAAGAGGUACGCGUACCAUCAUGUGACCUUCAAAUAGACAAAACUCACACAAGUUUUCAGAGUAGUGAGGGUUAUAGAAAACCGAACAACCUACUGGAUCAUUGGAUGAACCCAGGGUGCUACUUCUCGUUUGCUUUUUAUAAAAAAUAUAAAUACCUAUGUUCGUUGACUGAAUUGUAUUCUCGGUUCAGUGUGCUCAGUUGUCGUCAGUGCUUUGCUUAUGUGACCGCGCUUUAUUACUACGUGAGUAAGAAGAAUCAGAUUUUGUAGCCAUUUUAGAAUUAUUGCAAUAAUUGUGUCUACUAACCAUUAUGAAAGUAUCUUUUUUAUUAUUUGUCAUCAUUUCAUCCUUAGAAGAUACAUAUGUAUCUUCUUAUACGACAGAGUUUUCGAUCACAGUUAUGAACGGAGUCCAACGUGAGCCCUGGUUUUUCGUUUCCUAUACUAUAGCUUAUGAUGAUAGCGAGCUAUACUCGUAUGUGUAUAGAUCACCAAUUUUGAAAAGUGCAGAGGAUCAGUUUUGUCGAUAUAAAAAAAUUAAUGGUUCAUACCCGUACAUCACGUUCUUCAAACAUAAACCCUAUACAUUCGUCAAAGAAGGCGGAACUAACUAUGGUAUUAAUGCAGAUGACAAAGGAACUGUAAUCACUAAAAAAAGACUGGAAAGCGAUGGUUCUUUAUUCAUCGUAACAGGAGAUUAUGAUGAGCCGGAUGUGCAGAAAAUGUAACAGAAUAGGUACUCAUUGUGCUAGUAUUAGUGAUUGUAGACAGAAUAGUAGACAGUUUUUUAGUAACAAAUUUGUAAUGAAUAUAUUUCGAAAAAAUGAAAAUUACAAAUAUAUUGCAUCAAAGAGUGUCGGUCUAUUAUUAAGUAUUUAAUUAGGUAUUUAUUUGACUCAUUUACAGUAAUAGCUUUCCAUUAAUGUUUUACGAUUGCUUAGGUAAGUAUAAUUCCUUAAUUCGUUUGGUAAACAAAAUGUCGAGUUUGUGGUGUCAUCACGCCCGUAGCCGGGAUUUCCUCCAAGAGCAAUCUCAAUUGAUAAAAUUGUGAGCAUUUUGCUGGCGUUACCUCCGUAGGUAAGGGGUAAGGACAGCCGCCAUUGCACAUCCAAAAAAUGGAUAAACAUGUUAUCUUAUCAUACGUAUGCAUACAAUUAUUCGUGUAUAAAAUGCAACUUUUUCGAUUGUUCGCGGGUUCGGAUGAACUUUCAUGAGGUCUCAAAUUAAAGACGAUGAAAUUCCCUAUCGAUUGGUGUUAAAUUUUUAUCAUUUCGCGUAAAAAUAACGAUUUUAUGAAUACGUUUAUUUUACUGAUUUUGGCAUACUACGUACGUCAUCUUUAAACUGAAAAUACUCGAAAUUUUCAGCAGACACAUAGGUAUUUUAAUACAGCAAAAUGUUCGUUAUUUUAUCCUCUUUAAAAUGAGCUAUUACCGAAAGCUCUACAUGCAACCGUUCAAAAGUUUUGGAAGUUUUAAGUUGCGAAAACAAGUUGCGGAUGGUGUUGCAGGCGUUC